rnacentral:rRNA from 1 species
GACGAACGCUGGCGGCGUGCUUAACACAUGCAAGUCGAACGGAAAGGCCUCUUUCGGGGGGUACUCGAGUGGCGAACGGGUGAGUAACACGUGAGUAACCUGCCCUUGACUUUGGGAUAACUUCAGGAAACUGGGGCUAAUACCGGAUAGGAGCUCCUGCUGCAUGGUGGGGGUUGGAAAGUUUCGGCGGUUGGGGAUGGACUCGCGGCUUAUCAGCUUGUUGGUGGGGUAGUGGCUUACCAAGGCUUUGACGGGUAGCCGGCCUGAGAGGGUGACCGGCAACAUUGGGACUGAGAUACGGCCCAGACUCCUACGGGAGGCAGCAGUGGGGAAUAGUGCACAAUGGGUGGAAGCCUGAUGCAGCAACGCCGUGUGCGGGAUGACGGCCUUCGGGUUGGAAACCGCUUUCGCUCAUGACGAAGCUUUGUGUGACGGUAGUGGGUAAAGAAGCACCGGCUAACUACGUG